rnacentral:rRNA from 1 species
CACGUAGUUAGCCGUGACUUUCUGGUUGGAUACCGUCACUGCGUGAACAGUUACUCUCACGCACGUUCUUCUCCAACAACGGAGCUUUACGAGCCGAAACCCUUCUUCACUCACGCGGUGUUGCUCCAUCAGGCUUGCGCCCAUUGUGGAAGAUUCCCUACUGCUGCCUCCCGUAGGAGUAUGGACCGUGUCUCAGUUCCAUUGUGGCCGAUCAGUCUCUCAACUCGGCUAUGCAUCAUCGCCUUGGUAAGCCGUUACCUUACCAACUAGCUAAUGCACCGCAGGUCCAUCCCAGAGUGAUAGCCAAAGCCAUCUUUCAAACAAAGCCAUGUGGCUUUUGUUGUUAUGCGGUAUUAGCAUCUGUUUCCAAAUGUUAUCCCCCGCUCCAGGGCAGGUUACCUACGUGUUACUCACCCGUCCGCCACUCACUGGUGAUCCAACGUCAAUCAGGUACAAGCACCAUCAAUUAGUGGCCAGUGCGUACGA